rnacentral:piRNA from 1 species
UGGCCAGAAAGCAUGCUCGAAGAUGCUCA